rnacentral:lncRNA from 1 species
AGAUCAUCAGAGUAGUUAGUGGCAGGCAAGUAGGCUCUGCUUCUUCAGGCGUUAUCUUGGGAGAUCCUACAGUAUGAUGUUUUCAGUUAUGACCGGGAACUGGGUGAACUUCUGAUAUGUCAGUGGCUGGGUGUAUGUGUGUGUCCUUACAGCAAACUACAUACAGCUCUCUGAAUUCGUGCGGUACUAAAGUUCAGAGGAUUAACCAUCUUCAGUACAGAGGAGACCAUAUCUGCUCAGCGAAAUCUAUGCAUGUUUCACUGAUAAAAGAGUACAUAAACAACAGAGCACACGGAAGGGGGAGGAUUUUAUUACUAUUACGCGGCGGCGGCUAGUAUGCUAAGCUAGACGGCGUUCGCCUCCCUCAGGCGAGGGGCGGCGACGAUGGCAGCUUCUCAGGGGCGCUGAGCCAGGCGCUCGUUGUGCCUGUCGCGCUCGCGCUGCCUGUCGUCCUUGCCCAUGAACAUGAAGUAGCCGACGGUGCCGACGGCGAGGAGGCCGCCGACGGCCAUCGUGGUGGGGCUGAAGCGGCGCAUGGGGCUGGACGGGCUCGUCGCCGACGACGAGGCGCGCUUCAGCGGGUCGUCGGCCAUGGACGCCCACGCCUUCAUCUCCGGCCACAUGGUGAACGGACGAUGCUCUCCUCUUCUCGCUGCCUAGUUGCGAGCUACGCCCAAGCUUUCUUGUUUACUGGUUUGCC